GCGCCGGUGGUGUAAGGCGAACAUCGCUGCCCGGAAAGCAGAAGANGGCGAACAUCGCUGCCCGGAAAGCAGAAGAUGCGGGUUCGAGUCCCGCCUGGGGCA
rnacentral:tRNA from 1 species